UUUUCGAUUCGAUUUGUCUUCUUUUUCUAUUAAAUUAUACGCACGAUGCAACCCCGGGCUUCUCUGAAUAAUGUAUGAGGUGAAAGCCCCAUUGCUCGUGCAAAAUCAAUGCCGUUCGUGUUGCAGUUCAGUCUUACUUAUUCCACGAUUGAAUCUGUGUCAAAGUAAUGGCUACAUUCUCGAUUAGCUAUUUUCGAUUGCUAAUUUCUUUUUAUUAGUUUUGAAAUCUUAAUUUGCCUCGCUUUACCUUCAGCUUGUUUUCAAACACUUUGGAAUUUUGAGCUAGUCCUUCAGACAUAAAUUCAAACGCGGUCGUUUUCAUUUUGAGGUAUCUUUUAAUUCUUGGCUAUGAUUACAUAUUAUCCGCGCUUCUGAGAUUCUCGAUGAAGUAUUAAGGACUGAAUCAUGGUUGAAUUUCUUUAUAUGAGCCUGAAUAUUAUCUUUCCUUUUUAUUUUAAUUGAAAUUUGUAAUGUUGGUUUUGUUUAUUGAUAAUUGUUGGCUAUGAUGAUUUUUAAUUACAGCUUAAUGCCAGUUCUGCUUCUGAAAAAUCGUGAUUGUUAGAGCUGUCUAAUGUUCUGAGCCUCAAUUUUGCAAAAAAGUUGCUUUUAAUUAAUGUUUUAAGGAUUAAAUUCAUAUGUGCAAUCAGUGUAGCAAUCAGAGUAUCGCUAAAAGAUAUUUGAUUUUAAUCAUACUUAUCGUUUUUAAACUAACACGGAUUUUUGUUUGGUUGAAAUUGAUUGUGUUAUUUGUUUUAUUAUUGUAUUGAUUGUUUUAAUGUCCUAGUAUUUUCGUGAUUAAUUUGUAUAUUGGUAACUUGUAACAUUGCUGAUGAUGAUAUAAUCCAAUUUUUUGAGGUGUUGUGAAGCCAAGCCCCUGUCUUCAGGGAGAACCUACUUGGCGAAGCUCCAUUCAUAUGACAUUAAUGGAUUUAAGUGAGGCAAAAAUAUGCAUGUAGAACAUGAUAUCUUAAGCCCUCUGUAUGUAUUGUUUAUUUCGACUUUAGAAGUUAUGACCUAUUUUUAUCUGUGAGUUUCACUAUACUCUGAAUCAUCUGUAUUUUCAGUGUCUGAAAAACUCAAAUAUUGUUUGUGUUGUCAUCAGCUUCAUCUCUUGUUUGAAUGACGAGUUGGAAGUUAAAUAACAACACUAAAUUAUUCAAAUAUAUUGAAUUAGCAAUGUACUAUAUAUCAGAUAUUUGAGUCACAUCCAUGCUAAUAAACUUAGUAUAUCACAUGUUUGGGUCA